rnacentral:rRNA from 1 species
UACGUAGGGCGCAAGCGUUGUCCGGAAUUAUUGGGCGUAAAGAGCUCGUAGGUGGCGUGUCGCGUCUGCCGUGAAAGCCCAUGGCUUAACUGUGGGUCUGCGGUGGAUACGGGCAGGCUGGAGGCUGGUAGGGGCAAGCGGAAUUCCUGGUGUAGCGGUGAAAUGCGCAGAUAUCAGGAGGAACACCGGUGGCGAAGGCGGCGAUCUGGGAAGAUACUGACGCUGAGGUGCGAAAGCGUGGGGAGCAAACAGG